GAAUACACCGUCAAACUGCGCGAUAAUACUAAAGUAACAUCUGAAUGUCGCCAGCGCGUGCACUGCGCGUGCAUCUUUUAAAAGACAGCGUUGAAGUGUAUCUUACUGAAUAUUACAGAUUAAAGCUGCAUUUUAGUUUUAAAGAAGUAGUUCACCAAACAUUUUUCAUAUGACUUGCAUGAUGAUUAGAUUUUUUCAAUAGUUAAUACCAAUAGUAUUGUUCACUGUUAAAGUUGUGGAUUAAUUAAUUUUAUUGGUAAUAUUUAAUGCAUUGAAAGUUACUUUGCCUUUACCCUAAGUAAUUCAGUAAUUUUUUUCUUUUUAGGUUUCCUGUUGAUUGCCUUCUGCCAUGCAGUGGAAUUGAAAAAAGAAGGAAACCAAGGAAGAAUGCUUGAUGAAUUUCUGCAUCAAGUUGAUUUAAAGUCAUCUGAUGUAACUUAUGUGCGCACCACAGUACUUCAUGGCCUUCCAAUCCUCCUGGGGGAUUAUUCUGUGGAAUUUUCACGACAUUCUUUGAUUCAGAUGUGAAUGUAGACCUGAGUGCAUUUGAUGUUGGCCUGCUCACAGUUUUACCAGAAGACAUGCCUGCCCAAACUCCACAUCCCUCAGUGUCGACUCAUUAAAGGCAAUCAUUCUUGAGGGAAAAAUUGUGGUGGGUGAUGUCCAAAACUUGCCAUAUGCUGUGUUUUUCUGCAUGUUGCCUAUUUCGGAAAAAAGCUGUUUUUGCAGUUAUUUGAUGUCAAGUGGCAGUUAUUGAUUAGUCAAGGUCCCCAUGCUGUUUAUAUAUAGUAUAUAUUUAUACUAUAUAUAUUUAGUAUUUUUACUGCAUUGUUCUUAAA